rnacentral:rRNA from 1 species
GUGGGUAACCUUCCCGAGAGUGGUGGAUAACCUUCCUAAAGGAGGGCUAAUACAGCAUGAGACCACGGGGUCUUCGGACUCUGCGGUCAAAGCAGGCCUCUGUUUACAAGCUUGCGCUCUUGGAUGGGCCCGCGGCCCAUCAGCUAGUUGGCGAGGUAACGGCUCACCAAGGCUACGACGGGUAGCUGGUCUGAGAGGAUGAUCAGCCACAUUGGAACUGAGACACGGUCCAGACUCCUACGGGAGGCAGCAGUGGGGAAUUUUGCGCAAUGGGCGAAAGCCUGACGCAGCGACGCCGCGUGGGUGACGAAGGCCUUCGGGUCGUAAAGCCCUGUGGGGAGGAACGAACCGGCAUCGGGCUAAUAUCCCGGUGUCUUGACGGUACCUCCUUAGCAAGCACCGGCUAACUCUGUGCCAGCAGCCGCGGUAAGACAGAGGGUGCAAACGUUGCUCGGAAUUACUGGGCGUAAAGCGCGUGUAGGUGGUCUGG